rnacentral:rRNA from 1 species
GCUAUACUGCAGUCGAGCGGACAGAUGGGAGCUUGCUCCCUGAUGUUAGCGGCGGACGGGUGAGUAACACGUGGGUAACCUGCCUGUAAGACUGGGAUAACUCCGGGAAACCGGGGCUAAUACCGGAUGGUUGUCUGAACCGCAUGGUUCAGACAUAAAAGGUGGCUUCGGCUACCACUUACAGAUGGACCCGCGGCGCAUUAGCUAGUUGGUGAGGUAACGGCUCACCAAGGCGACGAUGCGUAGCCGACCUGAGAGGGUGAUCGGCCACACUGGGACUGAGACACGGCCCAGACUCCUACGGGAGGCAGCAGUAGGGAAUCUUCCGCAAUGGACGAAAGUCUGACGGAGCAACGCCGCGUGAGUGAUGAAGGUUUUCGGAUCGUAAAGCUCUGUUGUUAGGGAAGAACAAGUGCCGUUCAAAUAGGGCGGCACCUUGACGGUACCUAACCAGAAAGCCACGGCUAACUACGUGCCAGCAGCCGCGGUAAUACGUAGGUGGCAAGCGUUGUCCGGAAUUAUUGGGCGUAAAGGGCUCGCAGGCGGUUUCUUAAGUCUGAUGUGAAAGCCCCCGGCUCAACCGGGGAGGGUCAUUGGAAACUGGGGAACUUGAGUGCAGAAGAGGAGAGUGGAAUUCCACGUGUAGCGGUGAAAUGCRUAGAGAUGUGGAGGAACACCAGUGGCGAAGGCGACUCUCUGGUCUGUAACUGACGCUGAGGAGCGAAAGCGUGGGGAGCGAACAGGAUUAGAUACCCUGGUAGUCCACGCCGUAAACGAUGAGUGCUAAGUGUUUAGGGGGUUUCCGCCCCUUAGUGCUGCAGCUAACGCAUUAAGCACUCCGCCUGGGGAGUACGGUCGCAAGACUGAAACUCAAAGGAAUUGACGGGGGCCCGCACAAGCGGUGGAGCAUGUGGUUUAAUUCGAAGCAACGCGAAGAACCUUACCAGGUCUUGACAUCCUCUGACAAUCCUAGAGAUAGGACGUCCCCUUCGGGGGCAGAGUGACAGGUGGUGCAUG